rfam:Oryza rufipogon genomic scaffold, chr07
AUACCUUUCUCGGCCUUUUGGCUAAGAUCAAGUGUAGUAUCUGUUCUUAUCAGUUUAAUAUCUGAUAUGUGUACCAUGUGUUCACUUUGAUAUUAAAUUUAUUUUAGCCAACCAUGU